rnacentral:rRNA from 1 species
UUGAACGCUGGCGGCAUGCCUUACACAUGCAAGUCGAACGGCAGCACGGGAGCAAUCCUGGUGGCGAGUGGCGAACGGUGAGUAAUGUAUCGGAACGUACCUUUCAGUGUGGGAUAACGUAGCGAAAGUUACGCUAAUACCGCAUAUUCUGUGAGCAGGAAAGCAGGGGAUCGCAAGACCUUGCGCUGAUUGAGCGGCCGAUAUCAGAUUAGCUAGUUGGUGAGGUAAAGGCUCACCAAGGCGACGAUCUGUAGCGGGUCUGAGAGGAUGAUCCGCCACACUGGAACUGAGACACGGUCCAGACUCCUACGGGAGGCAGCAGUGGGGAAUUUUGGACAAUGGGCGCAAGCCUGAUCCAGCCAUGCCGCGUGAGUGAAGAAGGCCUUCGGGUUGUAAAGCUCUUUCAGCCGGGAAGAAAACGCAUGGGUUAAUACCCUGUGUGGAUGACGGUACCGGAAUAAGAAGCACCGGCUAACUACGUG